CUCUCUCUCCCCUUCCUCCCUUGACUCCAAUCCAGAUCCAGGGCCCCGACAGAGGGCUUCCCACUCCGACCUUGGUGUGCCCUCUUCCCCAUCUCUGCCGGCCACGAUCCCCUCACUUGGCCCGUGGAUCCAUCUCUUGCAUGGCCACCUCCCACACCAUCUCCUCCUUCCCCCAUCUCAUCACUAGGGAAGACAAGGCAAGCAGGAGGGAGUUCGACCGUGUAGGUCAGAUCCAUCCGCCACGACCUCGACGGAGAUGGCCCCGUGGAUGGAGCGGACCUGCAAAUCAUCAAGCCAAGGGCAGCAGGGCUCCAUCUUGUUCUCUUCUCCACAGGGGUCACGCACAGGGCACCACCUACAAGUGAAGAGAAGACCACCGCUCCUCCGGGUCUGCUUCUUCCUACUCUUCAAGGAGUAAUAGGUUAACCGAAUUGGAGAGUAAUGAGGCCAUGAAGGUGUGAAAAAAUGCUCGGUCCUUGUUGGCCAAAACAUGCUCUAGAAUUGGGGAGUGAUGACCAGCCACACGAGGUACAUAUGAGUGAAGCUGCCUUGUUGCCCAGCCCUUGUUUCUCUUGUUACCAUUUGUAUGUAUGCUUCUAUACGUCCAUUUGAUGUGCCGGGCUAAGCCGAAGGUGGUUAGGAAAGGGUUUGCGGAGAGGGCGGGGUUGGCCAAGAACCGCAUGG